rnacentral:rRNA from 1 species
GACGAACGCUGGCGGCGUGCUUAACACAUGCAAGUCGAACGGAAAGGCCCUGCUUUUGUGGGGUGCUCGAGUGGCGAACGGGUGAGUAACACGUGAGUAACCUGCCCUUGACUUUGGGAUAACUUCAGGAAACUGGGGCUAAUACCGGAUAGGAGCUCCUGCUGCAUGGUGGGGUUUGGAAAGUUUCGGCGGUUGGGGAUGGACUCGCGGCUUAUCAGCUUGUUGGUGGGGUAGUGGCUUACCAAGGCUUUGACGGGUAGCCGGCCUGAGAGGGUGACCGGCCACAUUGAGACUGAGAUACGGCCCAGACUCCUACGGGAGGCAGCAGUGGGGAAUAUUGCACAAUGGGCGGAAGCCUGAUGCAGCAACGCCGCGUGCGGGAUGACGGCCUUCGGGUUGUAAACCGCUUUCGCCUGUGACGAAGCGUGAGUGACGGUAAUGGGUAAAGAAGCACCGGCUAACUACGUG